rnacentral:lncRNA from 1 species
UGUUAGGGUCAUUAGGGUGGGGUCGUUAGGGUCGUUAGGGCUGGUGUCAUUAGGGUUAUGAGGGCUGGGUUCGUUAGGGUUGUUAGGGCUGGUGUCAUUAGGGUUAUGAGGGCUGGGUUCAUUAGGGUCGUUAGGGUCAUUAGGGCUGGGGUCGUUAGGGUCAUUAGGGGUGGGUUUGUUAGGGUUGUUAGGGCUGGGGUUAGGGUCAUUAGGGCUGGGUUCGUUACGGUCAUUAGCGCUGGGGCUGUUAGGGUCGUUAGGGCUGAGGUCAUUACAGUCAUCAGGGUUGGGGUCAUUAGGGUCGUUAGGGUCAUUAGGGCUGGGUUCGUUACCGUCAUUAGUGCCGGGGUUGGUAGGGUCAUUAGGGCUGGGGUCAUUAGAGUCAUCAGGGUUGGGGUCAU